rfam:Gossypium hirsutum cultivar TM-1 chromosome 12, whole genome shotgun sequence
UUAUAAAAAUUUUAUUUAUUUUCUAUUGUUAAAAAAUGACAUGGUUAACAAAUAACCAAAUAGUGACAUUUGGCAUGUUACGUGUAUUUCAUACUGACAUAUAAAUACCAAUUUUUAACAGUAAAAAUAAAUAAAAUUUUUAAUA